rnacentral:rRNA from 1 species
AUUGAACGCUGGCGGCAGGCCUAACACAUGCAAGCCGAACGGUAACAGGAAGCAGCUUGCUGCUUCGCUGACGAGUGGCGGACGGGUGAGUAAUGUCUGGGAAACUGCCCGAUGGAGGGGGAUAACUACUGGAAACGGUAGCUAAUACCGCAUAACGUCGCAAGACCAACGAGGGGGACCUUCGGGCCUCUUGCCAUCGGAUGUGCCCAGAUGGGAUUAGCUUGUUGGUGAGGUAACGGCUCACCAAGGCGACGAUCCCUAGCUGGUCUGAGAGGAUGACCAGCCACACUGGAACUGAGACACGGUCCAGACUCCUACGGGAGGCAGCAGUGGGGAAUAUUGCACAAUGGGCGCAAGCCUGAUGCAGCCAUGCCGCGUGUAUGAAGAAGGCCUUCGGGUUGUAAAGUACUUUCAGCGGGGAGGAAGGUGUUGUGGUUAAUAACCGCAGCGAUUGACGUUACCCGCAGAAGAAACACCGGCUAACUCCGUGCCAGCCGCCGCCGUAA